rnacentral:lncRNA from 1 species
CUGCCCAUAUGAAUUAGAAAGAGACUGGAUGAUCAAAUCACCUAUAAUUUCUUAUCCAUAUUCAUCCUGAGCUUCUGAAGCUCUUUAAUAUCUUUGAUCAUUGUCAAACAUGAUCAUUGUCAAACUACCAUCAUGUAUUUUCAUUCUGAAUAAUCUUUAAGAGACUUUAAAAUGAGCUGUACGACUCUAAUCAACAUAUAACUCUUGUAGGUGAGUCAGCAUAUCCUUGGUGUUGGUGC